UUAUGGGGUAGUGUGGAAUUAUUACUUAUUUUAAGGAAUAUAUGGGUUGGCACAACAUCGAGGAUUGAAGGGCCUGUACUGUGCUGUAGUAUUCUAGUGUCUAGUGCAGACAACCACAAUAGGCAGACCACGGGCCAGGUCCGGACCACGAGAACCAAGUGUCUGGGCUGCGCUGACCCAUUGGCACUUACGUGAAUGCACCUGUCAUAACAUGUAAAUAAAGCGCGCGAUGCUCUAAUUUAUUUUAACCUCAUCCCACACCGUACACUUGACCUAAGCCCCGUAGAGUGUGCGACCAUCGCUGGCUGAGCAAAGGCCGUGUGUUUGAGAGGGUGUGUGACCUGCAUGAUGAGCUUGUGUCAUUUUUAUCCAGCCUGUAGAGCCAAAAAGCCCAAGGAUUUAAGAGGUUUUUAAGUGACAACAAGGUGAUGGCACAUGUUCUUUUUUUGUGUGACAUCAUGUCUCAUCUAAAUCAACUUAAUCUGCGAUUGCAAGGCAGCAACCACACUGUUGCAGACAUGUACGAGGUGAUUGAAGCUUUCUGGUCAGAGCGGAACCUUUUGGAGAGAGACAUUCAUGGGAGGAAGCUGCACUUUCCACGUCUGCGGGAGCAUUGCGAGAAGAACGAAAUGCGGGAGAAUCCAGUGAUGAAGGAUAUCGUGACAAGCCUGGCAGAAAACUGCAGGGAAUGAUUUGAAAGCUCCCCUAAAGUCUCAGAUGACAUCCUCCUCUUCCUGAGACAGCCGUUCUCUGUUUCGGCUGACAGCCAGUGGACUGCAGAGGCCAAAAGGUUGGUGCCUUCCAUAGAUGAGGCAAUUCUUCAGAUGGAGGUCUUGGAAAUGGGAACAUCUGAUUUGUUCAAAGUACAACACAAGGAUGUUGGGGUGAGUGACUUUUGGAUCAACGUGGUUCCCCCCAAGCUCAAUUCAAAAACAUGACAGCUAUUGCAAUGCUCCUACUCACACUGUUCCCCUCCACGUACAUAUGUGAAUCAUUGUUUUCUUCAAUGAACUCUAUCAAGAACCAGGACAGAAAUAGACUCUCCAAUGCACAUCUCGGCCAGUGCCUCAGGAUUGCCACAACAGAAAACGGAAGGAUUGCCUCAUCCCGUCACUGUCACUUCUCUCACUGAUUGAUGGUUAGGGCCAGGUGGAAGGUGAUGGCAAUGGCAUCAAAUGUUGAGCGCUUGGGACGUUACGCAAACUGCAGGGGUCCAAACAAAUGAUCAUCCAAUUUUCUACAUCAACAAAUUGGAACCGGAAGCCUACCAAUGGAGAAGAACUGCUACAUCCUUCAAACAGCUGGCACGAUGGAAGCAGCUUUUGAUGAGCAACAUCCACACAAACGAGAUUUCUCAGUUUGGCUGGACCAGAAGCUGUCUUCCCCUAGAUACACGCAUGCUGGCCGAACCUGAGGUAUUUUGAUUCCUGGACACAGGUGACUAGACCAGGAAAGUGGGUGGCUCACUUGUGAUGGAUUGGCACCAUGGAGUUGAAGUCCUCGAGAUGUACUGUCCACAACUUAGUGAUGCCUGAGAUGCAGGCUGCAGUUAAAUCUGAGCCACAAGCAUCUUUGAUCCAUGCUGUGCUGAGCUACUGUUCAAGCACUCUUUCUUCCUGCCUGAGCCAGCUAUCUGAAGUUCCCCUGCGGCUCUGGAAGAUGCUGCCCCGAUCACUCGACUUGAUCAGUCAGGGAGAAGCUUUUCUGGAUAAUGAUCUCAGGAGGAAGACUACACCAUCAUACUCUCUUGUUUUUCAUUACUUUCAUCUACACUAUCAAUCAAUGUUCUACGCUGACAUCCCAUAAGAAACAAAGACCAUAUUCUUAAAGGUAUUAUGAAAGUUAACGAGAAGUACCAGAACAGAGGAAUGAGGCAGAAGAGAGCUAAAAAAAUAAAUGGGGAGCACGAGAAAGAGGUAGUAAGAGAGAGAGGUAGAGAUGGACAGCAAGUGAAAGGGGUACUGAAAAGAAGAACGUGUGAAAAAGAGAGAGAAUUGUAGUGAAAGAGAGGGGAAUGAAACUGAAGAAGACAAUAAGGGAGGUUUAGUGGAGAAGACAGUGAUGAAGAGGCUUAGAGGAGAAUAAUGAGUGGGCAAUGGAAAAUAAAGUGGGGAGAGUAGGGGAAAAGCUAUGAGAUGAUAUCGCCGGAUAUGAAUUAAAGUGUGAUUUGAUGUACAGCAGGGAGGGACUUUUGUAUACUGUGGAGAUAAAAGGAGCAUUGUGGAUGCAACAGUGGAGGUGAAUGAGGAGGGGACAAGGGGUGAGAAAAUGAAAGGGAAAUAAAGGACAAUGUUGAGUGGACUAAGAGAGAAUUGAGAGGAUAUCGAGCAAAAAUGUUGAAGAGACCAGUGGGGGGAGGGGUCACCAAUGAGUGUCUGCAGAGGAUACAGUAGAGGAAAAUUAGGAGGGACAAAGUGGGAAUGUGGAGGACACAUUGCUGAGGAGGAAGAACAAGAGAAAAUGAAGAAAGACUUGGAAAGAAUAAGGAGUUAAUUAGAGGAGAAAGGGUCAAAUAAUGUACAUUCAAAUCUUUUUGUUUAUUCUGAAUGGGUCUCAGCUUCAGAGUACUGGCCUUUACGAUUUCAGGAAGACGAGAAAAUCUGCAGAUGCUGGAAGUCCAAAGUAACACACAGAAAAUGCUGGAAGAACUCGGCAGGCCAGGGAAAGAGUAAAAAAGGACCUAAUGAAGGGUCUUGGCUCAAAACUUCGACAGUUUACUCUUCUAUAGAUGCUGCCUGGCCUGCUGAGCUCCUCCAGCAUUUUGUGUGCACUGCUUUACAAUUUCAGGUUGGGGUUUAAAUGCUUGGAUUAUUACAGCAACUGGCCACCAGCUUCUCUGUUUUCAAUGAAUGACUUAUGUAAACAUUCUGGCCCUGCUCCCAUGACGAGUUCUAGACUCUCCUCCCCUUGUAGCCACUUGGUAAGUACUCAUUUACCUUUGUCAGUGAUAUACUCAAACACCUCAGUACUGCUGACAAUGAUCUAAAUAUAACCUGUAUCUGUUAAAUAUCUGUCAAUGACUCACUUCAGCAUUCACCACACCACUCGAUAGUGAAUACAUGCUCUCCACUGUACAUGUUAAUAAUCUAUUUAGAUAUUCAUUUCCACCUGCCUUGCACUAUUUGGAUGCUCACUUGCACUUGACAUGAUUCAUUUCACCAUGGACUUGAAUUCAUCAAAGCUUCAGUUGAACACACACCUGUAGGGGCAUAUACAUAGGGAAAAUAUUCUGUAUAUUGGAUAUAUGAAAUUUUAAAAGAAACAUUAAAUGUUAAUUUUCCAGCACCCUGGACAAUAGUUGUGAUGAAAAAUGCAGAGUUAAUAUUUCAUAUUGAAUAGCAGUGGCUCAACCAAACCGAUCCUCAUUUGCGUCAUUGUCAACAAAUUAAAAGAGUUUGUUAUUGAUUUCAGGAAGGAGGAGGGUGUAAGUGCCCAUAUUCCUGUCCUCAUCUGAGAGCUUCACAUUCCUAGGAGUCAAUGUCACCAAUAGCUUGUCAAGCAUGCUUAACAAUGCUUCUGAAGAAAUAUGGCAUGUCUCUGUCAACCCUUACCAAUUUUUAUCAAUGCACUAGAGAAAACAUUCUGGAAUAGCAACAGCUCAGCUGUGGCCACAAGAAACUGUAGAGAUUUGUGAGCAUAGUUCAUCACAUCACAGAAACCAGAAAUCUUGAUACUUCUCAAAGCCUCAGUAAAGCAGCCAGCAUAGUAAAACCCCCCCACCCACCCUAGACACUCUCUGUUCUCCUCACUUCAACUGGGAAGAAGACAAGGCCUGAAAACACUGCCAUCAGGCUUUUGGGCAGUCACUGUGAUGGAUAUACACUUUCCAGGGCACAAGAUGCUUAUUGCUGACCUCAGCUUUCUAGCAUAGCAUCCUGACAUUUCCGAAGGGUCAGUGUUGUGUGUGAUGAAGCCAAACUUCCAGCCAAUAUUCCUUGCUCAGCAUCUUGUUGUAAACAAGGAAACAAUUAAGUCUUGUUGGUCCAUGUUCAAUCAUUGCGAGCUCUCACUUAAGAGAGAAGUGGCGUGAAAUUUAAGAAGAGCUCGGGGUCUUUCAGGACUCUUCAGUGGGUUUCGUCAUAGUGGUCUAUUUGGUACUUGACAAAGGCCAAUUAAAAAGAAUUUAGAUGUAAGCAGAGUGGUCAAUGGGGCAGUGGCCAUUGUAUGAAUGGAUUACUGUUAGAGUUGUUAAGAUUUGGCUCAAGAGGCUUAGGCUGUAAUGGAUAUUCAAUUCUUGGCCAGUAGGCAUCUUUCACAUUCUUGGUUAUUUGCUAAGCUUUCUUCCUAAACACUGCAUUUGCUGUUUGUAAGAACACAAACAAAUAAACUUCCAACUAACAGUUUGACUUUUGGCUGAAAAGGGAAGUCAGUCUUCAGUUUUUGAAAUGUAAACGGCAAGCACUAAUCACUUUGAAGUUAAAGCAAGUAUUGUCUAAAGACCAGCUUUGCAAACAAGUCCUGUGGAUAGUAGAUGUUCAGCCUGGAAGAAGUAAGGUUUAGAAUUAUUAUACCUGCUUUAUUACUGCUGAACUUGUCCAUGAUGAUUGGGUAGUUACAGUAUUAUCCCCCUUUACUGAAAGUAUUCAUGACUAUUUAUAUCAGAUAGGGCUUAAAAUAUUUUAGAGCUUUCAUGCUCAGCAAACUCAAUACAGCCAAAAGGUGAGAAGGGGCAAAGGCUGUAGUAAAUUAUUAGGAAGUUUUCUUCUUUCUUUGUCUAUCAGUACACAGCUAAUCUGGUGAGAAUGGUCCAGAGUUAGUGGUACGUUUUUUGUGUGAGUUGUAGGAACUCCGAGAGACCAACAGUCUACUAACAACUACGUUUGCAUGAAGUGCAUUCAGCUGCAGCUCCUUAAAGACCAUGUUAUGGAGCUGGAGCUACAGCUCGAUGGUAGAAUGCGGAGCUGGUAAGUAGUGCUAUAGGAAGUUAGUCACCCCUACGUUGCAGGAGGCAGGUAGUUGGGUGACUGUCAGGAGAGGAAAAGGGAAUAGGCAGCCAGUGCAGAGUACCCCUGUGGCCAUUCCCCUCAACAAUAAGUUUACCACUUUGGAUACGGUUGAGAGGGAGAGCCUGGCAGGGGAAAACCUCAGUGACUAGGUCUCUGGCUCUGUCGCUCAGAAGGUAGUUCAAAAGAUUGUGCAGCCAUUAGUAGUGAUCAUUUAAGAAUCACUAGGUUCUGAAAUGGUUCAGGAGGACAGGAAAUUUGCAAAUGUCAUUCCACUCUUUAAGAAGGGAGGGAGGCAAAAGAAAGGAAAUUGCAGGAGUUUUAGCCAGAGGAUGGAGAAGUUCUUUGCCACAGGCAGCUGUGGAGGCCGGGUCAGUGGGUGUAUUUAAGGCAGAGAUUGAUAAGUUCUUAAUUAUUUAGGGCGUAGAAGGUUACAGGGAGAAGCAGGAGAAUGGAGUUGAGAGGAUCAGCCAAGAUGAAAUGGCAAAGCAGGCUCACUGGGUCACAUGGCCUAAUUCUGUUCCUAUGCAUUAUGGUCUUGUGGUAUAAUUCAUUCCUUAAUCUUUGGUUUCUGCAAUAGGCAAGUCACUCAUCUGCAGCUCAUUGGUAUGAUAAUUUUGUUCAUAAGAAUUGUAACUAUGGAAAUCCUUUGUAGUUUAUAAAUCUUUUGUAAUUUGGAACUCUUUUAUAAAUCAGAAAAUCCUCCGUCAGUGUUAAAUGUGUAUUGAAAACUAUUUGCCUAAAUUGAAACUCACCAAUUCGCAGCUCUUUACUUCAGUCCCACCCUCUCUCCCGGUUUCACCUAUCACCUACCACCUUGUUCUUCUUCAUCCCCUCCACCAACCUUCUUACUCUGACUUCCCCCUUCCUUUCCAGUCCCGAUGGAGGGUCUCGGCUCAAGACCUCGACUGUUCACCCUUCUUCAUAGAUGCUACCUGACCCGCUGAGUUCCUCCAGCAUUUUGCAUUUGUUGCUCUGGAUCUCCAGCAUUUGUUGGUUUUCUCGUGUUUGUGUAUCAUUAACACUAAACUAAGCUGUGCUUAAGAUGUUGACAGCUAGAUCUCACUGCAGAGAAUAGACAGGGAAGUAAGAUAGUCUUUGACGAGUAGAUUAUAACAGUUUAACCUGCCUAUAGUGAGGUUUCCCAUAGAUCCCUGUAUUGGAUUGAUAUUUGGUAAAUGUGUUUUUAAACAUAGUAAGAUUAUUCCUGACUCCAAUAACUACAUGUACAGCAAGUCCACCAAAUGAGUGAGCUGUUCAUUUUUCAGAGUAGCUAGCCGGGAUGUCGCAAGAGCUGGCCAGUGGUUCAGUGAAGGUGAGUUGGGCCAUCUAGCUGGGAUUGUCAAGAAGGGCCACUGGGCAGAGAUUUUGAGUCAUGCUGUCCGACAGAACAAUUCGAGUUGGGCCGUCAGGCAGAGGGAUUCGAGUCAGGCUGUCGGGCCUGGAGAUUUGUGUUGGGGUGUCGGGCCUGGAGAUUCAUGUUGGGGUGUCGGGCCUGGAGAUUCACGUUGGGCUGUCGGGUCUGGGAAUUGGAGUCAGGCUGUCAGGCCUGGAGAUUCAUGUCGGGGUGUCAGGCACAGCGAUUUGAGUUGGGCUUUUGGACAGAGGGAUUUGUGUCAGGCUGUCAGGCCGCAGAUUGGGUUCGGAAGAGCUGACCUGGGUGCAGACCGUGCUGCUGUGUGCUACUGGGAGGCACUGGAGUUGGUGCGAAGGUGAUGUGUAGUGGAACCAUGAGUGACUGUCCUGGGCGUUUCUUUUAUGAUCACAUGACCCUGUUGGGCAUUGAUUUUUGCAGGCCUGCUUCCCUUGUUUGGUGGUGCGACAUGUGGUGAGGCAGCAGUGUCGCCUCAGUUGUGGCGAAGACUAAGCCUCAAUCCUCGGGCUUGCUUUGAAGCAUGGCAUCUGGGUUCGGUUGGCAGUGGCCUCUCCUGUUGGUGCUGCUCUCUAGUGUUGGAUUGGUGGAAUUACAGGCUGGACUGCCAAGACCCAUUGAUUUGCAGGACUUGAAAUAAAAAUGUGUUUGCUUACGUGACUAUAUUCUAUUUUUCUUCGUUUCUCAUUAUUUUGAAUGUGUGUGUAUAUCUUGGCACUGGAGGAAUGAUAUCUUAUUCAUUUGUAUCGAUGUAUGGUUUGAAUGACAAUUAAACUCGAUUUGAUUUGAUUUGAGUUUUGGGCUUUGUGGACUGUGAACCCAAUACCUUCACUCUUCUACCCCUCUGUUAUAAGAGUACUGACUGUUUCUCUAGCUAAAAUGGACUCUUAACUUCACAAUCAUUAGAAGUUCUGUGCGGAAUCUGUAAAUAAAUAAUAAAUCAUGAGCCUGAACCUUACUGUUUACCUGCUCUGCAUUGUCUCUGUAGCUGUUACAGUUUAUUCUACACCGUUAUUUUGUUUUACCUUGUGUCAAGCUCAAUCUGACUGUGCGCACAGUAUACAAAACAAGCCUUUCACUGUAUCUUGGUAUAAGUGAAAUUAAUA